AUUCAACGCAUCAAUUUGCAAAUUUUGAAGAAGCCUACUACAUUCUUGGAGGAGCACUUUUGCCCCUGGAGCAAGUGGUUUACUGCUAUAUACAGAUAUUGGACGCAACUGGACAGGAAAGAUUCCAAAAUCUAGCUGUUGCCUUUUACUGUGGUCAGACUGUUAUGUUCUCGUACACGAUGUUACCUUGCAAAGUCUUUUGAAAGUUUGAACAACUAGAGGGAAUAAUUUCUUAUUCAGGUGUCAAAGAGAAAGGAAACGAGUACGGUGUGCAUCCAAAGGAAACAUUCCUUUGAGAAUUCAUCUUAAGAAGGCCUCAAUGUAAAAGAAGCAUUUCAAGUCAUAGCAAAGAUUGCCCUGAAGAGCGAAGAAUAAGAAGAGAUACACUAUUGAUGUUUGUGGGUGGGAGUUAGCAGAGGUACAUGCGAGUGUUAGAGAACUUGUUCACCCUCUGGUAUUUUGUUGAGGGAGUUGUUAAUUCUGAAGAAGAUGAAUUUAUAAGAGAAGAGCUUCUUAUGCCCCUUGCUGCACCACAUAUAUCCUAGAUCAUAUAUGGAUGUAUAAUUGAUCUUCUUUGCUGAGCCGGAAAAGAAAACAAGGCAAGGAUAACAAGGCAAGGAUAUACUCAUUUUUCUAAGCAUACUCACUGGCGGGCUAGUUCAUUAAUUAUAUUGGUAAUCAGGUUAUUGUUACGAAAUAAUGGUUUGAACUGCACUGAUACGGUGUGAUUGUUGACCAAACCAAUCUUAACUAUCAUUUGUUCAAAUGUUGGCAACUUGUAAAUUUGUAGCAUAUGCACCUUUUAAAUGUAACUUGAACAAUAAUGUAAUAUAAUGGUCUAUGAAUGGAGAUUUUGAAAUUCUUUUUCUA